GAAUGGAAUUCUUAAGUCCAUUUCUCCAUACAGUGGACACUACCGGCCAUCAGAAGAUAGGUUUGAUAGCUUUUUAUCCUUUCUCCAGGAUAAUGGCGUGAAGCUUGACGAGGUCCAGGUAAACAAGGUCAGUGAAGAUUCUGAUAUAUAUGACGAUGGCAAAUUCAAUGCAAGUGGGACGAUGGUUGAAGUUUCAAGCAAGUUAGAGCCUCCCAAAGCUGCUACUGUUAGUGAAGAGAAGGAUUCUACUUCCGUAGGAUCAACAGUUGGACAAACUGAAACCAAAGGUGAAUACAAAAGGACUUUAUCUGGUGGUCUUCAAAGCCCAAGAGCCGAAGUACCAAAGACGGCUAUCUUGCACAGAAUUAAUUCUAAGAAGGCAGCAAAAUCUUAUCAACUGGGAAAUCAGCUUUCACUCAAGUGGUCAACAGGUGCAGGCCCACGAAUUGGGUGCGUUGCUGACUACCCAGUAGAAGUUAGACAACAAGCUUUGGAAUUUGUUAACCUAU
rnacentral:misc_RNA from 1 species